UUAAGAUACCACGUUUUGUAACAAUUGCUAAAAAGGGCUCCAAAUAAGUAUUGAAAAAUUAUUACGCUGUACUCCCAGGAAAUAUGCAAAUCAUAGGCUGUAGGCAUUAUACUUUGGUCACACUUUAUAUUAGGUGGCCUUAACUAUAUACUUAUUCUGGUCAUUGUAUUGCAAAACACUUGCUGCUAUUGAGGUGGGAUAUGGGUAAGUUUAGGGACAGAUUUGGUAGUAUGGGUAGGUUUAAGGGUGGGGUAAGGUGAAUGGGUCAACAGUGUAAUUUAAUUGCAGAAAUUAAUUGGAUGUAAUAUGUAUUCUCAAAAAUAUGUAAAAACAUGUACACUAAGUGCAUUUGUAUCAAAUGAUUAAUUUAAAUGUAAGUACAUAGUUAAGGCAAUCUAAUAUAAAGUGGGACCUAUACUUUUAUGUAACUGGUAAGAGGGAGAAUGUUCUGCCAAAACAAGCAUUUCCUCAGCUGACCAUAAUAGCAUGCAGUGUAGCCAACUUGGCAAUUUUGUUGCUAAAUUUAGCAACUUUUCAGACUACCCUAGCAACUUUUUCUUCCAAAAGCACCUAGCAACAAAUUUAGCUAUUUUUACAAUUUGGCAACUUUUGAUAAGUGACUCAAACGAUAAAAAGGCACACAUUUUAUAUCUAAAUUACACAAAAAGAGGAAACCGAAGAUGCCUAGCAGUACACACACAUGAAUUAAGUUAGUUGCUAUUUGCAAUUGUUCAAUUUAAUAAUAAUUGAAUAACUGUUCAUUUAUGAUACAACUUGUUAGCUUGUACCUGCAACUGUUGAUCAGUUAGUACGCUGUAAGAAAAAUAUCUAGAAAAAUGGAAAAGGUACUAAUAAUUUUCCAGGACAUUAUCCGUUGUAAUCCUGCAUCCCGAAAACACAAAAUGUACAAUGCUUAACUUAAAAUGCAGGUCAAAAACCUGUGAAAAAUCAAUACGGAAGAUUUCUUCAUAUUAACGUAGUAGAUUGUGCCCUAUUUUUACAGACUUUUCUUACAGUGUAGAAUACUAACUACUAAUACACUGCUUAACUAUAAUGGUUCAGAAUGUAUAGUUUUACUAACUUACUAGCUAACAAAAAAACCUUAAAUUGUUCAAAAAUGUGUAAGUUUUUUUUCAAUAAUUCAGUUGUAUUUAAAAAGACAGUUAUUUAUAUUUUAAUUAUGCAUUUAUAUUAAUUUACGAACAAAUUUAAAUCAACAUUUAUAAACUAUUUUUGAUGAGAUUUGAUACAGUGACAAUUUUGCGUCGUGAUUACGUAAUGACGUCAUCGCGUAAUGACGUCACAACAUCAUUUAGCAACAAAUUGACCUUCCUUUAGCAUCUUCCCCUGAAAAUUAGUUGGCAACACUGAUAGCACGUUUCUAAUAGAUUCCUGUUUGACGCGCAUGCGCAUUUAUGCAGCGAAAUUCAGCGUAGGCUCGCGUGCUGUCGGGGCGAGCGCCUUUUCUCCCCAUUUUAAAAUGGAAUUACUCGCAUGAAUUUCUCACUAUUUACAGAAGAGGAUAUGACCGUAAAAUGCUAUGAAGAGCAAGCUCCAGAUUGGCGCCACCUCCUGGUAGAACACUGGAGGCACUCAGGUCAAGAAGAUUCUCCACUGAGGUUUCCAUAGCAACUCCUCCCUGAUUGGUUCCUCUGGACACACCUCAUGCUCUCUUCCUAUUAUCAGAUCUGGCAGCUCAGCUUGGAACUCUGGGCCUAUAUUUAUGCACCUUGGGUGUGAAUGUGAC